AACGAACGCUGGCGGCAUGCCUAGCACAUGCAAGUCGAACGAGACCUUCGGGUCUAGUGGCGCACGGGUGCGUAACGCGUGGGAACCUGCCCUUAGGUUCGGAAUAACUCCCCGAAAGGGGUGCUAAUACCGGAUAAUGUCUUCGGACCAAAGAUUUAUCGCCUUUGGAUGGGCCCGCGUUGGAUUAGCUAGCUGGUAGGGUAAAAGCCUACCAAGGCGACGAUCCAUAGCUGGUCUGAGAGGAUGAUCAGCCACACUGGGACUGAGACACGGCCCAGACUCCUACGGGAGGCAGCAGUGGGGAAUAUUGGACAAUGGGCGAAAGCCUGAUCCAGCAAUGCCGCGUGAGUGAUGAAGGCCUUAGGGUUGUAAAGCUCUUUUACCCGGGAUGAUAAUGACAGUACCGGGAGAAUAAGCUCCGGCUAACUCCGUG
rnacentral:rRNA from 1 species